GAAGCGGAGGGACAUUACCGAGUUAUUCAACUCAUCAACCCUGUGAACAUACCUAAACGUUGCUUCGGCGGGAAUAGACGGCCCUGUAAAACGGGCCGCCCCCGCCAGAGGACCCUUAACUCUGUUUCUAUAAUGUUUCUUCUGAGUAAAACAAGCAAAUAAAUUAAAACUUUCAACAACGGAUCUCUUGGCUCUGGCAUCGAUGAAGAACGCAGCGAAAUGCGAUAAGUAAUGUGAAUUGCAGAAUUCAGUGAAUCAUCGAAUCUUUGAACGCACAUUGCGCCCGCCAGUAUUCUGGCGGGCAUGCCUGUUCGAGCGUCAUUACAACCCUCAGGCCCCCGGGCCUGGCGUUGGGGAUCGGCGGAGCCCCCCGUGGGCACACGCCGUCCCCCAAAUACAGUGGCGGUCCCGCCGCAGCUUCCAUCGCGUAGUAGCUAACACCUCGCGACUGGAGAGCGGCGCGGCCACGCCGUAAAACACCCAACUCUUCUGAAGUUGACCUCGAAUCAGGUAGGAAUACCCGCUGAACUUAAGCAUAUCAAUAA
rnacentral:rRNA from 1 species